GAAAAAGAAAACUAGCAGCUGGCAAAGUCAAGAUAAAAUAUAUUAAAGCUACACAGUCCUGCCGACAGCAAUUCCAGGCCCCAGGGCAGAACAGUCAAUGGCCUCCUAGAAAGCUACAAAUCAACAAGAUGCACCAUCAAAGUAGCAAUCCCAACGACCCAGGAACAACUGGUAACCUUUAAUAGGCUGCACAUGGCCCCUGCAACCAUCAGUGGAGACCAGGAUGGGAUACAGUUGUGGAUCUUGCUCUUCCCAGGCUAUUUGCAGUGUUCCCAUACACACUCAUGUUGCACAGAUAGAAGAAGGAAGAGCUGAGGGGCAACAGGCAAGCUGAAGUGCUGUACCAGGGUAUUACUACAUAAUUUCAAGGAUAGAAAUGGAC